UCUGGUCCAUCCUCUGAGUCUGAUCACCUUGAUGUCCCUCACCUGACAGAUUACCCAGCCGCAGACUGCCCAGCUGAAAGAGACCAUGGAUUUUUUUUUUUUAAAACGUUAUACAGGUGAGGACACAGCAAUCCUCCAGAGGAUGCAGCAACAAGACACCAUCUUGGAAGCAGAGCAGCCCUCACCAGACACCAAAUCGGCCAGCACAUUGAUCUUAGACUUCCCAGCCUCCAGAACUAUGAAAAAUAAAUUUCUAUUGUUUAUAAAUUA